rnacentral:rRNA from 1 species
GAGAGACGCUGGCGGCGUGCCUAACACAUGCAAGUCGAACGGGGGUAUUUAUUUCGAUGAAUACCUUAGUGGCGAACGGGUGAGUAACGCGUGAGCAACCUAUCCUUAAGAGGGGGAUAACAUCUGGAAACAGAUGCUAAUACCGCAUAAGACCACACUGCCGCAUGGCAGAGGGGUCAAAGGAGCAAUCCGUUUAAGGAGGGGCUCGCGUCCCAUUAGAUAGUUGGUGAGGUAACAGCUCACCAAGUCAGCGAUGGGUAGCCGAGCUGAGAGGCUGAUCGGCCACACUGGAACUGAGACACGGUCCAGACUCCUACGGGAGGCAGCAGUGGGGAAUAUUGGGCAAUGGGGGGAACCCUGACCCAGCAACGCCGCGUGAGGGAAGAAGGCCUUCGGGUUGUAAACCUCUGUCAUUAGGGAAGAAGAAAGUGACGGUACCUAAUGAGGAAGCCCCGGCUAACUACGUG